ACAGAACCAUUCCAAAUCCCCAAAUCAAUGAAGGACCCACUAAGCAAAGCUUUUAUACCUGGAGUAGUGGCGUGCAUACUUUAUAGGGGCAUCUUCUUGUAGCUUCUGACUCAGAUAGUUGAGAAGUAUGGGGAGCAUCAUCCUGCUUCCUCGUAGUCACUUCUGUCAUGGUAUUCUUGUCUUCUUCCUUUCCAUGGAAAGAUUCAGAUCGUCCUUCAACUUUGGGAGUCCCAAAUGCUGCCCUGGAGGAUCCCUGUUUCCUGAAUUUAGGAAUUAUUUGUGCAUCUUAGUUUAAGAAGUGCUAAUCUUCCUCAUGCCGUGAAACAGAAUAAUCCAUUAUUGACAGUCCUCCUGUGAGCCUAGCUUAGAACCUGUGCUCUGUGUUGAUUCAAGUCCCUGAGGUCUCUAUGUGAGAUUUUGUGGCAAAUUGCAUCUUUCCUCAAAUUUCCUAACUGUCCCAAGCACGGGAAUUCCCUCCUCCCCAAAUCAAACAGCUCUUGUACCUCUGUCUCAUAGGAUGGUGGUGGAUUGUGUCUGAGGAAAAUUAUCUUUUAUCAGAAGGAUGAAGAAAAUCAUCAGAUUUGCAUUCUUCACCAGGAUCUACUGCUGUUUCAACCCUGCCUAUAACUUUGGGUCAGAUUUGAGUUGACCAGCAGAUAUCUCCUCGGGAACAUCCCUUAAAGGAAUUGUGCAAGUAUUUUAAGCCCAGCAGCUUUGGACAACAGCACACUAAAUUAGAUGAAGUUUUAGAGGAAGGUUUGAGAAUUAAGAAGCCGUGAACAGCUCCCAUUUUGCCUACUGGUAGGAAGCACUGAGGGAUCCAACACUUAUACAGGUAAAAAAUACAACUGAUGCACAUUUUAUUGAUAUAUUUGUGUGUUUGAGAUCUUAAAUCCUAAACCGGCAAGCAUUACAUGUGUAGGAACACACCAUGUAAGUUUCCCCUAGGGCAAGGCUGCCUUUUAAGGCUCACUAAGAGGAUCCAUCGCUAAACAUAGGGGGAUUUUUUGUUCCUCUGUUUGAGGGCUGAGGUGAACUACACCGAGGGACAUGCUGGUUGAUCUGAGGUGCUUCAGUUUCAGCUCUAGGAUGCCUGUUUCUCAGCACUUCGUUCUGUUUUCCCUAGCUCUUCUUUUUUUCUCCUAUCAUUUGCAUGUUUCCCUCUGCACACGCAGGGACCCACAGGUGCAGCCUGCGGCGGCUCAGCUGAUGCUUACUCCAUUUACAGAGAACUGAGCCUUUGUUUUUCCACUCGUCUGCUCUCACAGCGGAACAGAUCUCUAAAAUAAAGUAGGAUCUUAGAAAAAGCUGAAACAAAAGCUUUCCACCUAGGCAUAGGGAAACCUUAUGUAACUCCUUACGUAAUGGGAUGUGGAGUACUUUCUCAUGAUUAACUUCAGAGUCGCUCAGGCUCCCCUGGCUCCCAACCUGCCUCGUUUCCUCCCGGCUCUGGCGGGGAGAAAAGGGGCUUCCCAGCCCGAGCCCCGAGGGCAGUGCGCCUCGGCUGCUAUUUCUGAAAGCUGCUCCUCCGAUUUAUUGCCGUACGAGGAGAUAAAACAGGAGGGGAACGGCGCUUUCUUUUUACUCAGUCUCCUUUCCUAAAACACCUUACAAAAGCAGUAAGAGGAAGGGGCGCUGGGAAGCUCCCUGCUCUCUGGUCUACACCAGACGCGCACAGCCGUUAUUUCCUCCUCGCACAACCCACGUGCGGUUCGUUCUGGGGCCCAGCACGGCGCUUCAGCACGAGCCGUGCUUUCCCGUUGCCGCCGUGCAGGGACGGCCGCGGCCCCGGGCCCUUCCCUCGUGACCCCGUCCGCUCUGCGAGACUAUUCC
ensembl:lncRNA